CGGCCGAAUCCCGUGGUUUUCUUCUUCUCGACUUUAUUGAACAUGCAACAAAGGAAAGUAAUCUCAAAGCGACAGAUUAUAUUUUUCCAACAUUAAUUGGUGACCCCUGAACGUGAAAAGUGGGGAAGAAACGCGGAAGCGCAACGCGGAGACAGCAGUAGUGACGUGUCAUGCUCAGCCAUUCGGAGACCAAAACAGGAUGACAGGUGGAAAAAUCCUGGGAGAAGCAGGCCACCCAGGGGACCCCAGCAGCAGUUGGAAAUGGCAUCUAUGGCGCUCUGAACCCUGACAGCCCACAACGAGGUGCCCAACAGCAGAAUGUACAGACCGAGAGGCAGAGGGUCUGGAGGAAAAAUGAACAGUACCCAUGACCACUCCAAGCCCUCCUCCACCGUGGCGAGGACCACAGGGCAAGUCGGACAACACCACUUGAUGCAGGAGCCAUUGUCUUUUUCAAGCUCAAAGGUAACCACUGAUGAGUCUACUGGACACUCUACCUGCUCUGACAAAUGAACAAAUGACUCCUCAAAACCUGCAAAAGACCAUCCGACUGACUUUUGACCAGAUGGUGGAACAUUCAUGCGUGCAUUCACCAAACACGCCUGUGAAUCUGUUGGGGUGGGACAGUCUUGUCAAAACAGGAGACGGCAGACUGGAUGCCAUGCUGGACACCACAGCCGACCCCCACUGCAGAAAGGGCCCUGAAACGCCAGGUGGUUUCGUUAAUUUCAGGUUUGAAGCCUGGAUUCCUGUGUUUGAAGCCUCCGAAUGGUCUGACCUGUACACUCCAUUAUGACAGAGAGCAUGAUUAACAGUAAGAAGUAUUUCAGCAGGUAGAAGACCACACAUGGCAUUUGAACUACACUGACAUAUAUUAACCCUGAGGGCGAGCGGCUUAUUGUGCAUUCAUACACUCACAAAUGCAAUGAUACUAGCUGUCAGACACAGCUGUAUCUCACAUAGGAUUAGACUAAGCAGGACAUUAACAACACAUUGGUUAAAUUGUGUUGAUUCAGGUGUUCACUUUCCUCCCUCAAAUAAAAUGUACAGGUUAAUUUUGCCGUUCAACAACCGAGCAGAGAGGAGACGGCUCAUGAGGAUGCAGAGGUGAUGUUAAAACGCUCUCUGAUGCUUCAUGGUCCACAGGUUCAGUUGAUGUUGGUUCAUUCUUCAUCGUCCCCCCGGUGGUGAUUCAGGUCAUUGCAGGAGCACAGGUUUUUGGAUCUCAGUGCAGCUGAGUGACUGAUGCAGAUGAAGGGAGGAAGGAAACUCAGUCUGGGCUGUAGAACUAUGGUGUCAUUGAAUAUUCGUAUUCUUCAUGGUGUACUUCUUUGAAACCGGUUUUAAAAGUAGAUGGAUUGCAUAUGAUUUAAGCUAAUGUUAAUUUGAAUUGAUGACGUCACCAUUAUUAUAAAACCUAUCCGUCCCUGAUCCAUAUUGCAUGCUGUCACCUUUAACCUCACAAGGUGUGUUGUUUGUUGCUAUUGACUUAGCACACGUUUUCUUUUAAUGGAAUCAUUACAUAAAAAUAGCAAUUAUUUACAUUUUAGUACAGAGGGGUUCAUAAAAUCCAUCUUGCAUUUUUGAUCACUGUUUAAAGUCUCUGACAGAACAUUAUGCUAUAAGAGGUUUGUGUUUUGCUAAUACAGGUUGAUGACAUCUGCCUGCAAUUAAUGACAGAUCUUCUGUUGCAGUUGUAUUAUUUCUUCUUGUGACCUUGCCUUUUACAGGAGCGUGGACAGGACGCCUGUUCACCUUAUCGGUGCACCAAACUGUUUAUUGUUUUUAUGUUCUUGCUUUACAUUUAAUUCGUUUUAUGUGUUUGUCCUGGAGCUUAGCCCCAGGCCAAGAGAGGGAGGUAGACAAAAGAGGUCUUAAUGAUUAAAAGAAGGACAUUAUUUUAUUAUCGUUUAAAUGUAUUUGUCUAGAAAGAGAUUGACCAUUUAGAAAGAAUGUUUAAAUAGUAACACAGAUUGACCAUUUUUAAAAAUUUUAAAGCUUUGUGUGUCUGUUCAUCUGAUUUUCUCUCAUCCACAGCAAGGAUGAGUAGGUUCUACGACUGGGUCAUUACACAACAGCCCAUAAUAAACUUUUUUUCUUUUUUUCUUGAAUUUGUAUUUUCCCCACUUGUGUUCUUCAUAAAACAGCACGAGGGGAAGCAGACCUUUGAGAAGAGAAAUGUGGUGGACCUUUUCCAUCAUAUUUUCUCUUACUGCGCAUGCGUAAAUUGAUUCUUGUCUCAUUGUCUUUUGUGUUUUAUUGUUUUUUAUUUUUUAAUUUCCUGACCCUAACACUAACAAAAACUUAGACCCACAGCAGAAUCAUCUUGGCAGAA